rnacentral:misc_RNA from 1 species
AAAAAAUAAAUCACAAGUUCCAAGGUAAAGGUGUUUGUAGCCUGUUUUAAUUCCAGUUAUGUGUCUGCUGUCAAUAUUAAAAAUAUCAAUUGUGAGCAUCAAAUUGAUCUUCCAAGGAAAUAAAAGCAUGCAUUCACACAUGUGAUGGAUGGGUUCUUAUUCAAAACAAUUUGAAUACUUGCAAAUCACUAACUACCUUCUUCACUAAAAUGCGUAGAUUAUAUGAAGUGAAGGAUGAG